ACUGAGAUAGAAGAAUCCUUGCUGAGGUCCUGGCCAGCCUUACUGAGGAAGAUGGAACCUGCAAGGUGGCACUUGCACAUAAUGGGACGAAGAGGACCUGCAGAGGAAGAAAGGGAAAAGCGUUUCAGACAGAUGACACAGCAUGUGCAAAGAUGGAGAUAAAGGACUGGCAUGAGAUCCAGGCCACUUGGUUAAUAGCACCCAGAGAAAGCUAAAUUGAUGCAAAUAACAGAG